AUGAUGGCAACACUGAUAGGAGUCAUGGGUCUGUGCUCAAAAUUUGGUAUAAUGUAAAAGUUGGUGGGCACCAACUCACCUCGCAGAAGCGACAACAAUGAGAAAAAGAUCCCCAUCAAGAUCAAUCCUAAGACAACAGGAAAGGGCUGCAAAACACGGCCAGUAAUAGCAGGUGUGCCAGAGUACUGGAUGCUUAUAUCAUCCCCGUGAUCAGCCCAUACUGUUGAUACAUAUGCCAUCAAAUGUUUGGACAGUGAGCUUAACAUGAAAACUAAGAACACAAAGCCAUAAAAAGUUGGUUGUAUACAUAUUUUGAAGCAGUCAUCAAAAUUAGGAUGUGUGCUAAUGCUUUCAUCUGCAUCGAAUAGACCAAGCCUUUGAAGUUGAAAUUCCAACAUCUUUCUCCCAAUCAUGCUCUACACCGAGACAAGAUAACUUGAGUUGAAGGAUAUUUAGCCGCUCGAAAUGAACAUGUCCACAAAUCUUGUGGAAAUCGAAGUGAAAGUAUCUGCAAAACUCAUCCAAAUUAGCAUAUAUGGCUUGUCUAUGAGCAACCCGGAAAACUAGACAAUACUCUACCUCAUAUCAUUGUUAAGAAUGUUCUGCACUGAGGUAGCAAACUUCUCACUUAAACGUCCUUCAUCACCACGCUAUAAUAGAUAACAAGCAGUGAUUAAAGCAAACAGAAUGUUGCAAGACCAGAAGUGUCAGUUUCAGCCCAUUUGCUUAUGAAUGGGUCGAUUUGCGCUAUCUUUUAUCUCUAACGGGUCCAGUGGGUAGAAAGUUGCCCAAGGUGUACUUUUAAUGAUUAAA